UGGGGAAUAUUGGACAAUGGGCGAAAGCCUGAUCCAGCAAUGCCGCGUGAGUGAUGAAGGCCUUAGGGUUGUAAAGCUCUUUUACCAGGGAUGAUAAUGACAGUACCUGGAGAAUAAGCUCCGGCUAACUCCGUGCCAGCAGCCGCGGUAAUACGGAGGGAGCUAGCGUUGUUCGGAAUUACUGGGCGUAAAGCGCACGUAGGCGGCGAUUCAAGUCAGAGGUGAAAGCCCGGGGCUCAACCCCGGAACUGCCUUUGAAACUAGAUUGCUAGAAUCCUGGAGAGGUGAGUGGAAUUCCGAGUGUAGAGGUGAAAUUCGUAGAUAUUCGGAAGAACACCAGUGGCGAAGGCGACUCACUGGACAGGUAUUGACGCUGAGGUGCGAAAGCGUGGGGAGCAAAACAGGAUUAGAUACCCUGGUAGUCCACGCCGUAAACGAUGAUAACUAGCUGUCCGGGCUCAUAGAGCUUGGGUGGCGCAGCUAACGCAUUAAGUUAUCCGCCUGGGGAGUACGGUCGCAAGAUUAAAAACUCAAAAUGAAUUGACGGGGUCAUAGCUGUUUCCU
rnacentral:rRNA from 1 species